UGGCAUUUCCAGACACGCAUGCGGUUCAGUUUCACAGUAUACCCACCAGCGGAGGAUGGUAUUAGUAAAAAUUUUUAUUUUAUAUUUAUCUUCUUAUAAAUAUUUUGUUUCGAUGAUAAAUGCUACACUUCUUAUAAUUGGUAACAGAGAGAAAGACUAGACAGAGAACCACAUCCUCAUGAGCUUUUUGAGGCCACACAUAAGAGAAAGGGGACGGAGGAGUUUGUUGAUGCGAGGUCAAAAGCUAUUUAUGAUAAAUACGUACAACUGAAGGAGGCUGCAACACAGCAACAGGAGGGAAGCAAUGAGCCGACGCCCAUAAAUGAGGCCCAGCUGUACUACGAAGCGGUUGGCGAGCA